CAGCAGCCGCGGUAAUACGAGGGGGGCAAGCGUUGUUCGGAAUUAUUGGGCGUAAAGGGUGCGUAGGCGGUUUGGCAAGUUUGGUGUGAAAUCUUCGGGCUCAACUCGAAGUCUGCAUCGAAAACUGCCGGGCUUGAGUAUGGGAGAGGUGAGUGGAAUUUCCGGUGUAGCGGUGAAAUGCGUAGAUAUCGGAAGGAACACCUGUGGCGAAAGAGGCUCACUGGACCAUAACUGACGCUGAUGCACGAAAGCUAGGGGAGCAAACAGGAUUAGAUACCCCAGUAGUCCCUGUCUCUUAUAC
rnacentral:rRNA from 1 species